rnacentral:rRNA from 1 species
UACGAAGGGAGCUAGCGUUGUUCGGAAUCACUGGGCGUAAAGCGCACGUAGGCGGAUGUGUCAGUCAGGGGUGAAAUCCCGGAGCUCAACUUCGGAACUGCCUUUGAUACAGCACAUCUGGAGUCCGGAAGAGGUGGGUGGAAUUCCUAGUGUAGAGGUGAAAUUCGUAGAUAUUAGGAAGAACACCGGUGGCGAAGGCGGCCCAACUGGUCCGGUACUGACGCUGAGGUGCGAAAGCGUGGGGAGCGAACAGG